AUUUGAAGAGUGAAUCCUCUCUGGAAAAUGUAGCAACUACUCAAAAAAGGUUGGAGGACCAACACUUCUAAGAAGCAGGAGGUGGGUGUUGUAAUUCAAAUUACAUGCUAAUUCUCAUUGAUCAGCCUAUUUAAAUGGUAAUGAGGCAUAGAUAGUGCUUCUGGUCCCUGUGUUUGAAACUCUGUGCAGAGCAGUCUAUAAGCAAGAAAAAAUACUGCUCCUUGCUUGAAAAGUUGUGGUUGCUUUAGGGGUAUGUGAUUGUAAAAUAUAAUUAACUUCCAGCCCUCUGACCUGUGGAGAAGGAGAUCCUAUCAAGAAUUUUUAGGACUACGGGUACAACCAGCUGUUACCAUCCUUCCAAUGUCACCGUUAGCUGACCAGGGCUGUAUUCUUCUGUAAACCAGAAAGAACAGACACAGCUAUCACUGCCACUUUUGUGGUGGAGAUGGAUGACCACAUCACACAUCAUUCUUAGCAGAGUGCGGAGGAAGUCUGAUUGCUUUUCCUGUUCAGCAAAAUCUUAACUAUACAAUAUGGAUGCAAAGUAUUGAUUCAGGAAACAAAGCAAAAUUAAGAUGCAAUCAUUUAGAAAAUGAAAUGUUGUAUAAAAGGAGGUUAUGGCCUAAUAGGGAAGGAAGGAUGUAAAUAUGUUUAAUACAUGGUAGCAAGCAAUGCCUGUCAACAAAAAUGUAAGAAAAGGUGCCAGGGAACAUCAGAGAAGCAAGAAAUUGCUUGAGGCUGGAUGAUAGGAAGCACUUAUCUGAAAUGCUAGUAUGUGAAAUAGGUGUUGAAAACUGCACAGAACGUGAGAAUUGAGAAAUAGCUGGAGAAGGAGUGGAAGACAUUUGAUAUCUAACAGAGUAGGAAUCAGCUUAUGAAAGCCUCUUGGAAGCUAUGUGCCAAGAAAUAAAUACGGCCUGUUGCUCAGGGUGACCUUGAAAUAUUUGAUAGAGUUAAUGAUGAAUAGAUAAAUUGUAAAAUAAGUGUGUGUGCCUCAAUUUUUUAUCAUUUGUUUAUAAUUUUAUAAUUAUUAUUCAAUUCAUACUCAGUACUUAUGUUUGUUUCAUUCAUAGGAAAUAACUAAUUUUUUUUUUGUUUUUUAAAUGUUUACUGUCAGGCAAUGUAUUAAGCACUUAAUCUACAUUUAACACAUACAAAGUCCAGUAAGCUAUCACAAUAAAACAUACAUUUUGCUAACCCUGAGAAAAGCCAAUGUUAUGUUAUCGAUCAUUUUGAAUAAAAUAAUUUGAAUGAUUUUCUGGAAGAUAAUCUGGAGCCAACUUGACUGUUAGAA
rnacentral:lncRNA from 1 species